UACGGGGGGGGCAAGCGUUAAUCGGAAUUACUGGGCGUAAAGCGUGCGCAGGCGGUUAUGUAAGACAGUUGUGAAAUCCCCGGGCUUAACCUGGGAACUGCGCUUGUAACUGGCAAGCUAGAGUGUGGCAGAGGGGGGUGGAAUUCCACGUGUAGCAGUGAAAUGCGUAGAGAUGUGGAGGAACACCGAUGGCGAAGGCAGCCCCCUGGGCUAACACUGACGCUCAUGCACGAAAGCGUGGGGAGCAAACAGG
rnacentral:rRNA from 1 species